rnacentral:rRNA from 1 species
GUGGGGAAUAUUGGACAAUGGGCGCAAGCCUGAUCCAGCCAUGCCGCGUGAGUGAUGAAGGCCUUAGGGUUGUAAAGCUCUUUCAGUGGGGACGAUAAUGACGGUACCCACAGAAGAAGCCCCGGCUAACUUCGUGCCAGCAGCCGCGGUAAUACGAAGGGGGCUAGCGUUGUUCGGAUUUACUGGGCGUAAAGCGCACGUAGGCGGGUCGUUAAGUCGGGGGUGAAAUCCUGGAGCUCAACUCCAGAACUGCCUUCGAUACUGGCGACCUAGAGUCCGGAAGAGGUGAGUGGAACUCCUAGUGUAGAGGUGGAAUUCGUAGAUAUUCGCAGGAACACCAGUGGCGAAGGCGGCUUACUGGUCCAUUACUGACGCUGAGGUGCGAAAGCGUGGGGAGCAAGCAGGAUUAGAUACCCUGGUAGUCC